GCCUGGGUGGCUCAGUCGGUUAAGCAUCUGACUUCAGCUCAGGUCACGAUCUCGCGGUCCGUGAGUUCGAGCCCCGCGUCGGGCU
rfam:Felis catus isolate Cinnamon breed Abyssinian chromosome F2, whole genome shotgun sequence.